CAAAGUUUUUCCAUUUAAGGAGACUUUAAACAGUCACUUUGUACAUCAAACGAACAAAAAAACAGCAGAAAGUGUCUGGACAUCUAAUGGAAUCACACACACACACACACACACACACACACACACACACACACACAGACACACACACACACACACACACACACACACACAGUGCUGUACUUUAACAUGUGUUUAUGUAAAGCUUCCAUCAUUUAGCCGUUCUUAUCUGAAAACCCAUCUAGAGACCCUUCACACACACACAC